rnacentral:rRNA from 1 species
CCUACGGGCGGCUGCAGUGGGGAAUAUUGCGCAAUGGGCGAAAGCCUGACGCAGCGACGCCGCGUGAGGGAUGAAGGUCUUCGGAUCGUAAACCUCUGUCAAGAGGGAAGAAACCCUUGAGUUCGAACAGGACUCUUGGCUGACGGUACCUCAAAAGGAAGCACCGGCUAACUCCGUGCCAGCAGCCGCGGUAAUACGGAGGGUGCAAGCGUUAAUCGGAAUCACUGGGCGUAAAGCGCUCGUAGGCGGCAUGGUCAGUCAGACGUGAAAUCCCGUGGCUUAACCGCGGAACUGCGUUUGAUACUGCCAGGCUUGAGUGUCGGAGAGGGUGGCGGAAUUCCGGGUGUAGGAGUGAAAUCCGUAGAUAUCCGGAGGAACACCAGUGGCGAAGGCGGCCACCUGGACGACAACUGACGCUGAGGAGCGAAAGCGUGGGGAGCAAACAGGAUUAGAUACCCCGGUAGUC